rnacentral:tRNA from 1 species
GGGAACUUAGCUCAGGGGUUUAGAGCGCCUGCCUUACAAGCAGGAGGUCGGUGGUUCGAAUCCACCAGUUCCCA